rnacentral:rRNA from 1 species
UACGUAGGGUGCAAGCGUUGUCCGGAAUUAUUGGGCGUAAAGAGCUCGUAGGCGGUUUGUCGCGUCUGCUGUGAAAAUCCAGGGCUUAACCCUGGACCUGCAGUGGGUACGGGCAGACUAGAGUGCGGUAGGGGGAGAUCGAAUUCCUGGUGUAGCGGUGAAAUGCGCAGAUAUCAGGAGGAACACCGGUGGCGAAGGCGGAUCUCUGGGCCGUAACUGACGCUGAGGAGCGAAAGCAUGGGGAGCGAACAGG